UCCGGUUUGGCACCGGCAGUCCUCCCAGAGUCCUCGGCUUUACCCGGUAGCAACUGGGAGCGGGGGUUGCGCUCGUUGCGGGACUUAACCCAACAUCUCACGGCACGAGCUGACGACAGCCAUGCAACACCUGUGCUAGCCCCAAAAGGACACCGUGUUUCCACGGCUUUAACUAGCAUGUCAAGCCCAGGUAAGGUUCUUCGCGUUGCAUCGAAUUAAGCCACAUGCUCCGCCGCUUGUGCGGGCCCCCGUCAAUUCCUUUGAGUUUCAGCCUUGCGGCCGUACUCCCCAGGCGGGGCACUUACUGCGUUAGCGACGGCACCGGGAGGGUCGCUCCCCCCGACGCCUAGUGCCCAUCGUUUACGGCGUGGACUAC
rnacentral:misc_RNA from 1 species